GGUCAGACCAGGAAGACAGAGGCCAAACCCAGCAUCACACUUUGACCUGCCCGGGAACACAGUGGCUCCUGGGAAAUAACCACUAAAGUCUUGAAAUGUCUUGAGUGAUUGGAGGACCUUUAUUUUUCACGCCUGAUGCCUUAUGCUGAUGAGAUGACUCAGCAGGGGAUGGCCAGGCCAGAAAGACCAAAACUGUAUCCUGAGGUUUGAGUUUCUGAGCCAGGUGAUGUCAUCCUCCAGCUUGGCCGGCCUCUUUCUGGGAGCCUCUGGUGUGAAAGAGAGCAGUGCUUGCCUUUCCCAUGUCUAGGAGUUUGCCUAAAUCUUCAAAGAUAUGUGAGGCUUGCCUAGAACAUCAUCAUCAGGAAUGCUGGUCCUUCAAUUUGUUUUUUGAAUUGAAGUGUAGUUUACAGUGAUCAAGUUGAAAAUAAGGCUCUGCAUGAAAGCUAACUAUUAAAAGGGUGUGGGCACAGGAGCAACCAACACAGACCCCACAGAAUCCCAAACCUAUGCUAAGAGGGAGCACUUCCAUCCCUCCAAACCUGUGCUAAGAGGGACACCUCCAUCCUUCUAAGCCUGUGCUAAGAGGGAACACCUCCAUCCUUCCAAACCUGUGAUAGGAGGGAGCAUCUCCAUCCUUCUGAACCUGUGCUAAGAGGAAACACCUCCAUCCUUCCAAACCUGUGAUAGGAGGGAGCACCUCCAUCCUUCCGAACCUGUGCUAAGAGGGACACCUCCAUCCUUCCAAGCCUGUGCUAAGAGGGAGCACCUCCAUCCUUCCAAACCUGUGAUAGGAGGGAGCACCUCCAUCCUUCCAAGCCUGUGCUAAGAGGGAGCACCUCCAUCCUUCCAAACCUGUGAUAGGAGGGAGCACCUCCAUCCUUCCGAACCUGUGCUAAGAGGGACACCUCCAUCCUUCCAAGCCUGUGCUAAGAAGGAGCACCUCCAUCCUUCCAUCUGGCAACCCCACAUCUUUCUGUGCAGCAUUGGCUCAUGGAGUUUUGCACAAUCUGUUGCCUUAAUGCAGCUGUGAGGUGGUAAACCCCAUGCCAUUGCACAGCUGUGCUGGUGGAGUCUUCAACAACAGAGGGAUGAAACGAGAGUGCUGAGUGAUGGGUGGAGUGUGCUCACAGAAGCCAGCUGUGCUUGCCCCACUCCCACCCAAAAUGUUUACCCACGUGGGAAAUGCCUGCCCUGCAUAGGAGUACCCAAGGAACCCAGGAUAUAAAGAAACUUCUAAAAUGGAUCUGAAAGGGGGAAGAGCCCUCCCCUGUAAGGAAGCGAGAGAGAUUUAUUAAAAAUCAUCAACUUCAAAUUAUUUGGAUGGAAACAUUGCCAAAUCAUAGAGAUGUUUGCUACCACCCGCACACCAAGCAGCUGGGUAACUAGAAGUGCAGGAUCAGCUUAUUCACCUCCGAAAGCCUGCAUGCAACCACUGAGGCCGCCUCUAUUUUUUACAUAGUUCUACUUGGUGUAUGUAACCCCACAGAGAAACCUGGAAGAAUGCAUGAAACCUAGUAAGGCAACCAGCACAUGCAACAGAAUGAACCGUUUCUUUCCAUCUGAAUGCCUAAAUGUGGACUCUGAUCCUUUCUACCAAGUCCUAAGUUUGGGAAAAGAGGACAAGGACAGGGGCUCUGUCCCAUAUCAUAAUGUGCUUGUGAAUGGCUAAAAUUACAAUGCUGAGAUAAGUGUGUGUAAUAAAAUAAUUGCACCCCGA
rnacentral:lncRNA from 1 species